rnacentral:rRNA from 1 species
GACGAACGCUGGCGGCGUGCUUAACACAUGCAAGUCGAACGGAAAGGCCCUGCUUUUGUGGGGUGCUCGAGUGGCGAACGGGUGAGUAACACGUGAGUAACCUGCCCUUGACUUUGGGAUAACUUCAGGAAACUGGGGCUAAUACCGGAUAGGAGCUCCUGCUGCAUGGUGGGGGUUGGAAAGUUUCGGCGGUUGGGGAUGGACUCGCGGCUUAUCAGCUUGUUGGUGGGGUAGUGGCUUACCAAGGCUUUGACGGGUAGCCGGCCUGAGAGGGUGACCGGCCACAUUGGGACUGAGAUACGGCCCAGACUCCUACGGGAGGCAGCAGUGGGGAAUAUUGCACAAUGGGCGGAAGCCUGAUGCAGCAACGCCGCGUGCGGGAUGACGGCCUUCGGGUUGUAAACUGCUUUCGCCUGUGACGAAGCGUGAGUGACGGUAAUGGGUAAAGAAGCACCGGCUAACUACGU